UUUUUAAAUUGCUGUGGUAUUUUGACUAUACAAAGGUAUUGUAAUAAGAUUUUAAUUGAAUGCUAAAAGAAUGGAAAUUUAAAAAAAAACUUUUUUAAAAAUAAAAAUUGAAUUUUUUUUAAUUUGUGCAAAAACAAUUAUAUUUAUUAAAGACAAGAAGACCCUAAGAAUUUAAGAUUUUACAAUUAAAAAGUUUUUUUUUUAAAAUCUUGAUUGGGGCGAUCAAAAAAUAUUAAUAACUUUUUAAAAUUUAAAUUGAUCUAUUAUUAAUAAACUAAUGAAUUAAAUACUCUAGGGAUAACAGCGUAAUAAUUUUUGAUAGAUCUUAUUGACAAAAUAGUUUGCGACCUCGAUGUUGGAUUAGGAUUCUUUUUUAAUGAAGAAGUUAAAAAAAGAAGUU
rnacentral:rRNA from 1 species